CUCCUGAGCUCAGGCAAUCCACCUGCCUCAGCCUCCCAAAGUGCUGGGAUUACAGGCGUGAGCCACUAUGCCUGGCCAGGCUCAUCUGUUAAUCUUCUGGAUGUAUGUUCUGUCUGACACCCACCUCUAUCCUUGACCUUCCUACCAGGCAUCACUGGUUAGGCCUGUUGCAUCAGCCUUGCCUUUUGUUUGUUUCUUUCUUUCUAGCAUAUCUGGGAUUUUAUUCUUUCAAACUCU
rnacentral:lncRNA from 1 species